rnacentral:rRNA from 1 species
GUGAGGAAUAUUGGUCAAUGGGCGAGAGCCUGAACCAGCCAAGUAGCGUGCAGGAUGACGGCCCUAUGGGUUGUAAACUGCUUUUAUGCGGGGAUAAAGUGGGGAACGUGUUCCCUUUUGUAGGUACCGCAUGAAUAAGGACCGGCUAAUUCCGUGCCAGCAGCCGCGGUAAUACGGAAGGUCCGGGCGUUAUCCGGAUUUAUUGGGUUUAAAGGGAGCGCAGGCCGAUGGUUAAGCGUGACGUGAAAUGUAGCCGCUCAACGGCUGAACUGCGUCGCGAACUGGCUAUCUUGAGUGAGUUCGAUGUUGGCGGAAUUCGUGGUGUAGCGGUGAAAUGCUUAGAUAUCACGAAGAACUCCGAUUGCGAAGGCAGCCAACAAGGCCUUUACUGACGCUAAAGCUCGAAGGUGCGGGUAUCGAACAGG